CGGGUGAGUAACACGUGGGUAACCUGCCUGUAAGACUGGGAUAACUCCGGGAAACCGGGGCUAAUACCGGAUAACUCAGUUCCUCGCAUGAGGAACGGUUGAAAGGUGGCUUUUCGCUACCACUUACAGAUGGACCCGCGGCGCAUUAGCUAGUUGGUGAGGUAACGGCUCACCAAGGCGACGAUGCGUAGCCGACCUGAGAGGGUGAUCGGCCACACUGGGACUGAGACACGGCCCAGACUCCUACGGGAGGCAGCAGUAGGGAAUCUUCCGCAAUGGACGAAAGUCUGACGGAGCAACGCCGCGUGAGUGAAGAAGGUUUUCGGAUCGUAAAACUCUGUUGUUAGGGAAGAACAAGUGCAGUUCGAAUAGGGCUGCACCUUGACGGACCUAACCAGAAAGCCACGGC
rnacentral:rRNA from 1 species